UACGUAGGGGGCAAGCGUUGUUCGGAUUUACUGGGCGUAAAGGGCGCGUAGGCGGCGCGUAAAGUCGUACAUGAAAUCAUUGGGCUUAACCCAAUGGCUGUGCCCGAUACUUGCGUGCUUAGAGUGCGGGAGAGGCAAGCGGAAUUCUCGGUGUAGCGGUGAAAUGCGUAGAUAUCGAGAGGAACUCCAGUGACGAAGGUGGGUUGCUGGACCGACACUGACGCUGAGGCGCGAAAGCUAGGGGAGCAAACGGG
rnacentral:rRNA from 1 species